UACGAAGGGGGCUAGCGUUGUUCGGAAUUACUGGGCGUAAAGCGCGUGUAGGCGGGCCGUUAAGUCGGGGGUGAAAGCCCAGAGCUCAACUCUGGAACUGCCUUCGAUACUGGCGGCCUGGAGCAUGAUAGAGGCGAGUGGAAUUGCGAGUGUAGAGGUGAAAUUCGUAGAUAUUCGCAGGAACACCAGUGGCGAAGGCGACUCGCUGGAUCAUUGCUGACGCUGAGACGCGGAAGCGUGGGGAGCAAACACG
rnacentral:rRNA from 1 species